UGCAAUUCAAUUUAAAUUGAAAUUAUAAUUAAUUUAUUAAUUUUUUUUUAUAAAUUGGAUUAUAUUUAUAUUUAAAAUAUUUAUAAAUUAUUUUGUUUUAGUAAAUUAUAUUGAAAUAAUAAUUUUAAUAAUAGUUAAUUAGUAUUGUAAAAGAUAAUUGAAAAAUAAUGAAAAAUAUUUAUUUGAAAAGAAAAAUUAAUUAUUUGUACCUUGUGUAUCAGGGUUUAUUAAUUAAUUAAUAAUUAUUUAUUAAUCUCGAUUUUAUAAGAGUUAAUAAUUUAUGAAAGUUAAUAUUUUAUAAUUAUUUUUUAUAAAUUAUUGGAAAUUAAAUGUUAUUCGUUUAUAAAGGUAUCUAGUUUUUUUAGAAAUAAAUUUAAUUUAUAAAUUUUUAAUUUAUUUGUUAUUUAAUUAAUGGAUAAAUUUAUGAAUUUAAUUAUUUUAAGGGAUAAGCUUUAAAAUAAAUUAUUAAAAAUUUAAUAAAUUAUUAAUUAGAAUAUAUGCAUAGAAUUAGCAAUUAUUAUUAAGAUUGGUUAUAAAUUAUUUUAUGAUUAUAUUAUUUAUUAAUAUUUUAAAUUAUUUUUAUAAAAUUUUUUUUUAAAAUAAUUUAUAAAAAGAAAUAAUGAUAAAAUUAGUAUAUUAAUUUGUAUAUAUAUAUAAAUAAAUAUGAUAAGUUUAUAUAAAGAAUUCGGCAAAUAUUUUACUCGCCUGUUUAACAAAAACAUGUCUUUUUGAGUUAUUUUUAAAGUCUAACCUGCCCAAUGAUUUUUUUAAUGGCCGCAGUAUUAUGACUGUGCAAAGGUAGCAUAAUCAAUAGUCUUUUAAUUGAAGGCUUGUAUGAAUGGUUGGACGAAGUAUAAUCUGUUUCAUAUGAAUUUAUUAUAGAAUUUUAUGUUUUAGUAAAAAAGCUGAAAUUUUUUUAAAAGACGAGAAGACCCUAUAAAUCUUUAUAUUUUUAGUGAUUUUAAUUUUUUUGAUUUAUUUUAUUUUAAUGAUUUAAUUUAUUUUGUUGGGGUGAUGAUAAAAUUUGAAUAACUUUUAAUUUUGAAAAACAUUGAUUUAUGGUUUAUUGAUCUGUUAUUAAUGAUUAUAAGAAUAAGUUACUUUAGGGAUAACAGCGUAAUUUUUUUGGAAAGUUCUUAUUGAUAAAAAAGUUUGCGACCUCGAUGUUGGAUUAAGAUAUAAUUUUAGGUGUAGUUGCUUAAAUAAUGAGUCUGUUCGACUUU
rnacentral:rRNA from 1 species